rnacentral:rRNA from 1 species
GAUGAACGCUGGCGGCGUGCCUAAUACAUGCAAGUCGAGCGAACAGAUGAGGAGCUUGCUCCUCUGACGUUAGCGGCGGACGGGUGAGUAACACGUGGAUAACCUACCUAUAAGACUGGGAUAACUUCGGGAAACCGGAGCUAAUACCGGAUAAUAUAUUGAACCGCAUGGUUCAAUAGUGAAAGACGGUUUUGCUGUCACUUAUAGAUGGAUCCGCGCCGCAUUAGCUAGUUGGUAAGGUAACGGCUUACCAAGGCAACGAUGCGUAGCCGACCUGAGAGGGUGAUCGGCCACACUGGAACUGAGACACGGUCCAGACUCCUACGGGAGGCAGCAGUCGGGAAUCUUACGCAAUGGGCGAAAGCCUGACGGAGCAACGCCGAGUGAGUGAUGACGGUCUUCGGAUCGUAAAACUCUGUUAUUAGGGAAGAACAAAUGUGUAAGUAACUAUGCACGUCUUGACGGUACCUAAUCAGAAAGCCACGGCUAACUACGUG